ACUGUAUUCCACAUUCUUCGUGUCUUAACAUUAAUUAACUUGCUCAACAGGUAUACAAUACUGUUCUCAAACAAUCUGACAUUUGCAACUGUGAAGGGUGGAAGUCAUACAGCUCCAAAUAAUAUGCCUUUGCAAUGCUUCGUUAUGUUUGAAAGGUGGAUUUCUCACAAGUCUCUAUGAUUAAUCUGACCUUAUGAACAAAUUUAUUGCAGAACAAAAUAAAUAAAUAAAGUUUUUCUUCUGCUUUCAGUGAACACAGCUGAUGUAUUUGAUAUAUGUUAGAGAAUAUAUUAAGUUACGCCUGUGGUAAGUUC